CGAAGUGGAGUUAAAGUACAUUCUUCUUUGUCGGGUGUACUCUCUCUUCCAGGGCAUUCCUUUCGCGCUCUGUUGGCUUUACAGGAAGUGGGAGCUGCACCUCGCCUCUGUUCGGGUCGGGACACGCCUUCACUCCCGCUCCCCGCCCGAAGCCAAGCUCCAUUCCUAGACCGGGGGUUCCCCGCUGUGUGAGGGCCGGGCUUCGGGGUUUGGACCCAGAGGGGUGACGCGCGUUCGUGAGUUGCAGCGGAAAGCGAGGACAGUGGGUGGAAAAGGCAAAGGACGCAUUUGACAAAUCUGAUUUAUGUCCUCAGACCAAGUCCCCGCAACAGGAAAAGAACCCCCAAUGCUUCUCCGCCCUGCCAGUCGGGGCGGACCAAACAGGUACCACGGAACGCCGGGGACGAGCGCGCCGGAACCAGGCUUCGGUUAAGACAAAUCAGCUGCAAUUGGGUCAUUCCUGUCCAGUCACAAGGCACAUUGUCCGCCUCCUUUGUUGCGGACUGCUUCAUGUGACUGAGCUCUUGAUAUCGGAUGGCAGCAGAAGCCUGAUGCGCCCUUCUGCACUACGCUUUCAAGGAACUAGUCAUUGUAUGCAUUUCCCACAAGCACAGUGACCUUGGAAGCCACACGUUUAAGAUGGCAGAAACUCUGUCCUACCAAGUCCCUGAAUGACUUGGAGUUCAUGGGGCAGAACCCUUCUAAGCUGGAACACCCCUCUGGACCAUUUCGUUAGAAAUUAAAGCUUCUAUUGUGUUUGAAGGAUUA